rnacentral:rRNA from 1 species
UACGUAGGGGGCAAGCGUUGUCCGGAUUUAUUGGGCGUAAAGAGCGUGUAGGCGGCCAGACAGGUCCGUUGUGAAAACUAGAGGCUUAACCUCUAGACGUCGAUGGAAACCGUCUGGCUAGAGCCCGGAAGAGGAGAAUGGAAUUCCUGGUGUAGCGGUGAAAUGCGCAGAUAUCAGGAAGAACACCCGUGGCUAAGGCGGUUCUCUAGUACGGUACUGACGCUGAGACGCGAAAGCGUGGGGAGCGAACAGG